rnacentral:rRNA from 1 species
GACGAACGCUGGCGGCAUGCCUAACACAUGCAAGUCUAGGGGUAGCAAUACCACUGGCGCACGGGUGAGUAACACGUAGGUUAUCUGCCCCCAUCACAGACAUAACCCCGGGAAACCGGGGCUAAUAUCUGAUGAGGUCGCGAGAUCAAAGCUUCGGCGGAUGGGGAUGAGCCUGCGGCUGAUUAGCUAGUUGGUGAGGUAAUGGCUCACCAAGGCGACGAUCAGUAGCUGGUCUGAGAGGACGAACAGCCACACUGGAACUGAGACACGGUCCAGACUCCUACGGGAGCAGCAGUGAGGAAUAUUGGUCAAUGGGAGCAAUCCUGAACCAGCAAUGCCGCGUGUGGGAUGACAGGGCUUCGCCUUGUAAACCACUGUCGGACGGGACGAAAGGA